rnacentral:rRNA from 1 species
ACUCCUACGGGAGGCAGCAGUAAGGAAUAUUGGUCAAUGGGCGCAAGCCUGAACCAGCCAUGCCGCGUGCAGGAAGACGGCCCUAUGGGUUGUAAACUGCUUUUAUCAGGGAAUAAACCUUUGUACGUGUACAGAGCUGAAGGUACCUGAAGAAUAAGCAUCGGCUAACUCCGUGCCAGCAGCCGCGGUAAUACGGAGGAUGCAAGCGUUAUCCGGAUUCAUUGGGUUUAAAGGGUGCGCAGGCGGAUUGGUAAGUCAGGGGUGAAAUCCCACAGCUCAACUGUGGAACUGCCUUUGAUACUGUCAGUCUAGAGUAUAGUUGAAGUGGGCGGAAUGUGUCAUGUAGCGGUGAAAUGCUUAGAUAUGACACAGAACACCGAUCGCGAAGGCAGCUCGCUAAGCUAUAACUGACGCUCAUGCACGAAAGCGUGGGGAUCAAACAGGAUUAGAUACCCUGGUAGUC